AAAUCUUUAAUAACCUUAUAUGAAACAACACUUUGCUCGAGCUAGAUCAACACAACCUGAUAUAGAUGCCUCAGAAUUCUCUCUUGGGAAAAAAGAAAAUCCAAGAUGAGAUUGACAGAAGGAACAAUCUCCUAACCAUCUAUGGAAAGACUAAUCUUAUCUCACAGAGUCGUAACACCUUCAGGGUAGAAGAUACAACACACUUUGUUCUACAAAUGAGGAAAGUGAGGCCUAGGAGCUGUGUGUGCAGCCAAGCAGUGAGGAAGACCAAACUACACCUCCCAUCAAAUCAGAGUCAGUCAAUAAUGAUUUAAACCAAAAAGAAGUAUUGUCUGGGGAAACAGAAAAAUAAAAUUCACUCUCAGAAAUAUAAAUCACAAGUUGAAUGACAAACUUUUAUCACCAAUAAAAGAUUAAGAAAAAUAUAUUCAGC
rnacentral:lncRNA from 10 species